rnacentral:rRNA from 1 species
AGAGUUUGAUCCUGGCUCAGGAUGAACGCUAGCUACAGGCUUAACACAUGCAAGUCGAGGGGCAGCAUGGUCUUAGCUUGCUAAGGCCGAUGGCGACCGGCGCACGGGUGAGUAACACGUAUCCAACCUGCCGUCUACUCUUGGACAGCCUUCUGAAAGGAAGAUUAAUACAAGAUGGCAUCAUGAGUCCGCAUGUUCACAUGAUUAAAGGUAUUCCGGUAGACGAUGGGGAUGCGUUCCAUUAGAUAGUAGGCGGGGUAACGGCCCACCUAGUCUUCGAUGGAUAGGGGUUCUGAGAGGAAGGUCCCCCACAUUGGAACUGAGACACGGUCCAAACUCCUACGGGAGGCAGCAGUGAGGAAUAUUGGUCAAUGGGCGAGAGCCUGAACCAGCCAAGUAGCGUGAAGGAUGACUGCCCUAUGGGUUGUAAACUUCUUUUAUAAAGGAAUAAAGUCGGGUAUGUAUACCCGUUUGCAUGUACUUUAUGAAUAAGGAUCGGCUAACUCCGUGCCAGCAGCCGCGGUAAUACGGAGGAUCCGAGCGUUAUCCGGAUUUAUUGGGUUUAAAGGGAGCGUAGAUGGAUGUUUAAGUCAGUUGUGAAAGUUUGCGGCUCAACCGUAAAAUUGCAGUUGAUACUGGAUAUCUUGAGUGCAGUUGAGGCAGGCGGAAUUCGUGGUGUAGCGGUGAAAUGCUUAGAUAUCACGAAGAACUCCGAUUGCGAAGGCAGCCUGCUAAGCUGCAACUGACAUUGAGGCUCGAAAGUGUGGGUAUCAAACAGGAUUAGAUACCCUGGUAGUCCACACGGUAAACGAUGAAUACUCGCUGUUUGCGAUAUACGGCAAGCGGCCAAGCGAAAGCGUUAAGUAUUCCACCUGGGGAGUACGCCGGCAACGGUGAAACUCAAAGGAAUUGACGGGGGC